GCUGAAGCUGAAGCUUCUGUGUAAAUUCUGUGACGUUGAGUCUACCAGCUGCAUGGGCACACUGUUUAACCAACUGUAGCAUCACAGCCAUCUGCCCCCAUCCAGAGGACGUGUGUGUCAGCAUUUGGAGGAAGAAAGACGACAAUGUCACCAUAGACACGAUAUGCCACAACCCAGCCCAUAAGCUGCAUGGUCUGGUGCUGGAGGACUAUAACAACAGCAAGUGUGAGAUGAGGGAGAGAAAUGACAUGGGCUCCUAGUUCUUCAUCUGCUCCUGCUCCGAGGACGAGUGCAAUGACCACCUUUUCUUCCCCCCCCUGGCGGCAGGUAGCCUCGUGGUUAGAACGUUGGACCAGUAACCGAAAGGUUUCUAGAU